CAAAAAUAGAAAAAAUAUCAUAGCAGAUCCUUAAAUUUGUCUAUGAAAUAUUAAUAUCAAAAUUAAGAUUUAAGUUCGACGAAUUGAAAAUAUAACGAAAUGGUGAUAUAUAUACUAAAAGUAAGGCAAAGGAUACCAAAGAAAGAUUUUAAAUCAUAAGUCGAAAAUAAACUGACAUUGUCAUGGUUAAAAAAAAAGAUAAACAGACAAACAACUCUAAACAAAACAACAUAUAAAACCAAAAACUAAGCAACACGAACGCAAUCAAAAGCUGAGUGUAAUCUCGAUUGUUCCAGAAAGGCAAGUAGAUUCCUUUGUCAUCAAUAAUAUGUGUUUCUUCUUUAUAACAAAUGUAUUGAUAGUCACGAAAUGAAAAUCGAAAAUACGUCUCCAUCUUGGUAACC
rnacentral:lncRNA from 1 species